UCCAUCUUGAAAACGGAAAAUAAAAACAGCAGACCUAUGAAGGUCGAAGGGGAAGAAAAGCUGUAUCGAUUGUUGAGAUCUGGCGACUUGUUUAAAUUUCAUCAGCCUCACUUCUAUGAACUCUCAGGCCUCACGUGUACCAGCUCUCUGCUCUCCUUUGCCUUGGGACGUUCCAUCCCUGGAAGUUUCCCUGCCCACAUCUUUGUAGAGAGUCCAUUCUCCAAGCUUCAGUGUGUCAUCUGUGAGGACCGUGACCCACCUGGUACAUCGCCUCAGGGCAUUCAUUUCAGGCUCCUUCUAAAUGGCCAAGGUACAGUUGACUAAAUACCGUACUUCAUUUCUGGUAUGUUUGGAGAGACAUCUGUUUUUUGCAUUUGGUCUUUCACUCUUUGUUUUUCUCCGGGAGGAUUAUACUUUGUUUGUUCCUCUCAAACUUUACCCAACUGAGAGUGCUAUAGAGUGCUGUGAUUUAAAUAUCAACAGAUUUCUAGGGACAUAUGCACUCUCAGAAAUAUGUGCGUUCUCAGACCUGAGUACCCUGGUGUGGGCUUCGUGGUAUUUUAGGAAGCAUGAAUUGAGAUCUGAGGGCACUAGGUUUAUCUUGAAAGCAGAUGUAGGUAAAUUGUCUCGGCUCUGCUGUGAUCUCUAAGAUUAUGAAGGUAUCUGGAACUCAGGGGAAAAAACAUCUAUUUUAUCACAUCAUUGAAAGUAGUUUCUUACCAUUUAUUAAACAUUGGCUUAAAAUAAUGAUUUUGCCAUUUUUUUCCUGUCACAUUGCAAAUGCUUAUCUAUUGCUUUGACUAAGUUUGCAUGCCUGCAUUUCACCCUUGAAAAAGUAAAGUGUUCAGUUUUUUCUUUUUGUAGAUAGUAUUUAGAUCACCUUUAUCAAUCUUAAAAUAAGAAACCUAAUAAAAAUAACUCCAAAUUGCAAGGCAUCUCUUUAAUACAUAGAUACUUUGUAUCUUCAUUUUAGUUGAAAAGUUAAAAUUAUCUGUAGAGAAAGCAUAAGACUAGAUGAUACCUUUUAAUCUAUUGUGAGAGAUAUGUAACAUGUCAGCAGAUGACAAAAGUAGGAACUGUUUUAUAAACCUCCAAUCAUCAAAUAAGUGACAUGUUUGAGUCAAUCAAUUUAAGAGGUUCCCAGUCCACUGAUGAAACCAUUUGAAGAAAAUGUGCUGUUUGAUGUUACAGAAGCCAAAAGCUGUAUAAAUGUGUCAUCUGUUUUUCAUUUUAAUUCACUGUUUCAGAAGUAUUUACUGUGUAUUAAAAAAUCUUUUUACCCUUUCAAAUCUUUUGGACAACCUGGAAAAAUUGAGAACAGUUUAAGAUCUAUCCAUAAAAGCACAUUCUCAGCUGAGUUAUCUUGUUCCUAUGUGGUGAUAUUAAUCAUAUUACAUAUGAACUUUUAAAAUCAAGUAAGAAGGCUGUCAUUUGACUAAGUAGCUGCUGAUUUUUAAACAGAAUCUGUAAAUAUAUAUCUAUAUGCUGAAAGCUUUUAGUUCAAUCAAAAAUUAAAGGUUUUUUUAAUACAGUAUAAAUCUGAAAGGUAUUUCUAGGUUCAGACAAAAAUAUCUGGAAGGAUGUUGCCUUUAAAAAUAAAGCCUUUUUUGUAGGACAAUCUCUGUUUUAAGAAAUGAGAUUAUUUCAUAUUGUUGUCCAUGAGAAAAUAUUACUAGACUGAGAGAUUCUUCUUAUUUAAUUCUCCCUCCAACGCCAUCCUUCCCUUGCAAUGAACGCCCAAUCACCGUUACUUUUUUUCUCACUAUUUAAAAACCUCUCUCUUGCCCACAGAGUUGCUUUUUUAAAAGAUCCCUCUCUUUUCCUAGAUGCUCUUCUUUCCUCUUUUCUCUGCCCUCACCCUGGCCACACCCUCCUGCCUGGGUCCAUCCGGUCCUACCUCUUGACAAUGCUAAUUUCCUCUUCUCAGUUUGGCUACUAAAUUUUACACUAUGCCAUAAACAGGCUACUUGUGAUGCCUCUGGUUAUUCGUAAUGCAUAGCCAAAAAUACACUAAGUGCCACCACUCCUUAAUUCACUGAUUUCUAGCCAGAAGCAGGGAGAGAGGAAAAAUAUCAGUGCUUUACUUUAAAGCCAUUGUCUUCCAUUGGUUUUCAUUAAAGGGACAGGAGAAUUAUAUGUAAAAUGUAAUAAUCUUCAGGUUUUCCUGAGCGUUUUAACAAGCCACGUUCAGGCAGUAGGGUUGGAAAGUGAUGAGGGAAAACGACAAGGGUGUUGAAAGUCCCUAAACGGGAUCCUGUAAUUUCUAGAAAAGAAAUGGUUCUGCAAACAGGAGACAUGAUUACAUAGGCUUAAUUAACAGUUCAAAGUAUUGGGGAGGACUUAUCAUGGUAGCACGCAUGUUUCUCGUUCUUUAAUGAGUAAAUGACCCAUUUGAGUGCAUGAGCACAUAUCAGAAGCACAUGGCGAUGAAGAAGUGUGGUGGUGGUAGAUCUGAUCAAAGGUUUUCAAAACUGACUCCAAGUAUUUGAUGAAGAAGAUUAACAUGGAGACAAUUUACCAAACAAAUACAGCAUAAAGAGCCAAGAGACCUUCUAAGGGACUUCAAGGCUCCAGCUUGCCCACAUAAAGAAUAUCAUUAAACAGAAAGAAA
ensembl:lncRNA TEX41 testis expressed 41